AUUCAGCCUGCUCUUGAACUUGCUACGUAGCCUAGGCUGGCUCCAAACUUGAGAUCUACCUACUUCAACCUCCUGAGUGCUAGGAUUGUUUGAGUCACUAAGUCCAGUAUAUUUUUGAAACUUUAACAAACAUUUAAGGAGACUUUGCUUCCUGAAAGAGGAGGAAGUUUUUCAUGCUUUUUCCAUUAGGAAACAUUGUAUGUAAAACAAAUACAGGAGGCCUCUGAAAGUUGGUAGGCAAAGGGGCCAGUUAGGACUCUGGGUAGGACACACUAGGAAAGUCUCUCUCUCUCUCUCUCUCUCUCUCUCUCUCUCUCUCUCUCUCUCUCUCUCUCUCUCUCUCUCUCUCUCUCUCUCUCUCUCUCUUUUUUUGUUUGCUCGAGGAAUUGGUAAGUUUAGAAACACAGGCAUAACAAAUAAAUGAAUAAACAAAGUUGUGUCUUUGUAGUCUUUCUAAUCAUGGCCCAGGAAAGAGGAAGCCCAGUAGAACAGAAAACUUUUAAAUAACUGUUCUACUUCAGUCAAACACACUGGACUUCUACCUCUGUGUGUUCCUCUCAGAGACCUGUGGGGUGCCUAGAUUUUGCUCCUCCCUGAAGAGCUCAUCACUGCUGCUGGGUGGCACAGGGAGGGUGAGGAGGGAGGCUGGGAUUCCUCUCUUGCCUGGAAGGAAGGCUUUUGCUCUCCCUGCCAUGUCAGCAUGGACAAUGUGGGUGGCCUGGGCUUGUACCCCAACCCUGUGGUAUUAAGAUGCCUCUCUCUCUUGCUGUGGGUGUGGUGAGAAGGCCUAAGGGAGGUCAGGACCCCUCCCUGUCCACCAGUUAUGAGUGAAUGGGAGCCAUAUGGGAAGUGGCAGAACAUGCUUGCUUCUCCCACCUCGGAGCCAUGGGCAGAAGCCUAGUAGGAUCUGGAAUUCCCACCUUCAUCCAGCAGUAAUGAGAAGCCUCUCCAUAUCUAGGAAGCCAUGUUGAGUAUUUGGCUUUCUAGCGCUACUUGGGAAAAGUUAGAAGUCCCCAAACUCCUGCCAGAGUCGUAUAAGAGGAAACCUGCUAACACAGGGUUAAAUAAAUUCAUCACCUUGUAAUAUCCCAAACAUCAAGGCAAGACAGGCAGCAGUGCUGUAGUACAUCCCCAAGGCUGCAGCAUGAUGGCUGCCCUAUAUCUACUGGCCAGUAUGCAGUGGACAACUCCAAGCUGUCCAUGGACCUGGAGUAUGAACUCUGUCUCCUUACUCAGCCUCAGGCAGGCUCAGGUCCAGGAAUGAGUGGGCCACUAAGUGAUUCUAGGGCUCCCAUGACAUUGAGCCCUACAUGCCCACCAUCAAGAAACCCUGUGACUCCUUUGGUGGCUGUGAUGCCAUGUUCUCAGGUUCAGAGGAAGAUACCAUUGUGCCCCCAGCUGGCAAAGGUCCUGUUGUGGCCAGAUGCUCCCCUGUCCCUGAGGCUGGGGCUGCACUGAGAACAAGGUCCCUGGGGAGCCAUUCUCUAGGAAGGUUCCAGAAGCUGAGGAGGGUUCCCUGAGGGAAUUUAAAGAGAUAUCUGUGCAGUAUGACAUAGGAGACUUUGGGCAGUGCUGGAAGAGACUGGACAUGGCACCCUCGGCCAAGGCUGGCUCCCCAGCUAGGGCCUCGCACGAUGCAGGUGGUUCAAGGAGGACAACCCAAGAAGAAGAAUGUAUUCCACUCACUUCCAGUCACAAGGACAAGUCCUGGAAGGAAACAAGUUGGAGAACUGGGGCUGAUGUAGGGCUGGAAUUGAUCUGGGUCAUGUAAGAGAAGCUGGCAACCCAGCAGCCCACAGCACAAGGAGAGUCUGUGCAGGACCAAGAAAAAUCUGUCUUCAGCCACCUAGUGGCUAACUCAGGGAAACAGAGGAUUGCCCACAGCUAGAGAAACUUGCUUCUGCCAUGUGCCCAACCUUCACCUAGCCACAGCCCCACAAGUGCCAAGAGUACCUUCUUGGCCAGCAGCUGCCAAGCAUCCCAUGGACCCAAACCCAGAAGCCAAUGCUGAGACCUGCACACCAUCGGAGAUGGCAUCCAAGACCACCAUCACCUAAGUGCGUGGCACAGUGCAGCUACAGGGUUUAAAGAAACCCAUUAUUACAAAAGAGUUUGGGGGGCAAAGUCCCCACUGUUACUCACCAGUGCUGUUUUACCCUGUUCAUUGAGUGGCCUCUGGUUCUGGCCAGCCAACCAGGAGGUCAUCCAGAAGGUGCCAAAUGAGAAGGUAGCCUGCUACCACAGCCCCAGCAAGAACAUCUAUCUGGAUGUAACUAUGAACACAUGAAGCUGGAGGAUCUCAUCUCUAGUGCUGUAUUCAGCCUCAGCAGACCCAAUGGUAGGAGGACUGGGUCCUAGAUGGGUGCUGCGGGCAAGACGGCAUCAAGACCCACUUGAUCAGCUGGCCCAGCAGCCGCCAGGUGGCAGAGCAGAAGGGGGCCACCCUACACAGCAACCUCAGGGACACCUGCUUAGCCAGAAGCAACUCAGGAAGGACAGCCACCCCUUCUCCUAUCCUGAGAGGCCAGAUGGUACUGUCACUCACAUCUGAAAAGAGCCCCAAAGACCCCUCCUGUAGAAUCUGCUGCCACAACAUGUGCAGGAUAGGCAGAGGGCUUCAUGAGGAUCUUUGAGAAGGAACUUGGGGUCCUCACAGGGAUCUAUGCCCCUGUACUCACACAGGGAUCUAUGACCUCAACUGAGAGAUGUGUUAUAUUACAGAGCUAGCUUGUGUUAUGGUGAACAUGGAAAGACAUACAAGUGAUAUAUGGCACCUUUGUCAAGCCUGGGAAUGAGACUGUGGACUAUAACACCAGGUUCUCCAGGAUGGUGGAAGAUGACCUCGUGGACAUGAGCUUCAUAUUGCAGGAUGUGCAGCCCAUCCUGCUGAAUAUGGUAAGGGCCAAAAUUGCUUUUAUCAGGCAUAACUUGGAGAGACCUACUGGCUUUGAGUGUCAUCCAUAGCACACGGUGGACAUGGCUGUGCUGUUCCUAUACCACCUAGGCCAUCCCUGCAGGUACUCUUUCUGAAACUUCAUACCUGACUGCCACAGACAGGAUAUUUGGAUGAGUGCUUUUGCAGUGAAGAUGUCAGCACCUGUAUGUACCUGGUAAUCUGGAAUAUCCAGGAGGAUGCCAAGACUAAGUCAUGAUAUGCUCUGCCCAGGCUACUUGCAAAACAGGGCAAUAACUCUGAAAGCUAAUCCUGUGCACUUAGGGAAACAAAGCACAGGUGGGCCAGACCCUGAGGCCAGCCUGAAUCUCACCCCUGCUGUGACCCUCCCUCUUUCCCCCUUUUCCAGCCUCUGCUUCCCUGUCUAUGUGUGGGGCAGUGUUGUGUCUUGGUCUUGUUUGAGACAGGGGCUGUAUUUUUCUUUCAUAUUGUUAUUUUUUAUUGUUAUUGCUUUUUAUUUAAAUCUGUUGGCUUGUUCAGUUACCAUCUCUGCCCAAGAAGCACAACUCUGGCACUGUUUUCCUCCUUGGGAACCAGCGUGGGUGUGAGCCAGUUUCAAGCAGAGGCUACAGUGACCAAGCCCUGAGAGAUGCCCCUCAAGCUUCUUCUCCCAGGUUCUCAAGAAGCCCUUCAGCAUCUCCUUCUGGCCAUCUUACACAUGAUUCAGCAGCAGAUUUUGCAGGAGGCAUUCUCUGGCCUCACAGGUUGCCUCAGAAUGGCAACUUCCAAAGUUACCUCUCUAGUUCACCCUGACUUCUUAUGUGAUUUCCAAGAAGCAGCCAGCCCUGGCUGAGGGUGUUGCCUUUUGUAGGCCCCCUUGGCUUAUGGUCUCUGGGACAGUCUUUUCACCAGAGCCACCCCUCUACCCCCAUUCCAGAGGUUCUAUGUAGGUCCCUCUCAUCCACUGCCCCUGGGAAGGGAUACAUUAAAUGUUUAUAUGGAUGAGAGAGAGAGAGAGAGAGAGAGAGAGAGAGAGAGAGAGAGAGAGAGAGUAAAAAAGAAAGCUUUAGUGUGCCCUGCUCAUUCAGGGACACAGAGGAAAAUGUGUUUCCCUGAGUUUAGUCAUCUAUUAAUGCAGAGGGCACUGCAGCCAAGAUCCAAGGGGACCUGCUACUGAGCAGGCUAACACAAGACCUUAGCAUCAUCUAGAUGGUGCUGGUUUUAAAGGCAUGUAGAGUUUAGAAGUUAAGAGGUUGUGGAGUUUUCUACUCAUAUUUCACAAGGCUUGGGAGGCCAGGCAAUGUGUCCCUAAGAGAGCAGUGACUAAAGUUUUGAGGGUAAAGUUGAGAGUUCAGUGGAGACUCCAGGCAGCUAGAGAAACCAGGAAUGUGGAAUAUCUGCUGAGAAAAAAACACAGGCAGUGAGCGGAGCCACCCCAAGAAAUAGGCCACAAAAGAUGCAACUGUCAGUGCUGUAAGUGCAGGGCUGCCCAAGCCCCUGGGGGAGCACAUUUCACCUGCAACUUGCCUGGGUGCUGGACAUGGAACCACAGGGCCUAAUGUUUUCCCUGUGAGGUUUCAGUCUUACUUUGGUUCUAUUCCCCUAUUCUCCCUUUCAGAAUGGGAAUGUUUACCCUGUGCCAUUGUAUGUUGGCAGUGUUUAACUUUCUUUCUGAGUUUUGCAGGGGCUCACAGCUGUGCAUUAGCUUGGAGACUCAGAGGAGACUUUGGACUUAGACUUUUCAGCAGUGCUGGGACCCUUAGGACUGGUGACUUUUAGAAAUGGACUAACUGCAUUUUCACAAUGAGAUGAACAUGACUUUGGGGGUCCAGGUAAAGAAUGUUAUGGUUUAGAUCUAGAGUGUCCCCCAUAAGAUUCAGGUGUUCAGAGAAAGGGCUUUUGGAAGGUGAUUCAGUCACAGAAGUGCUAUUCUCAUUGGUGGAUUAAUCUGUGAAUGAGUUCAAAGUUAACUGUGCUAUUAGAGUUAGGGACUGGUAGUAAGAGGCAGGUCAGUAGGGGUCUGGGCAUGGUGGGUUUAUCUGUCUCCCUGGCUCCUCUCUUUGUUCUUUGCUUCCUGGCUGCUAUGAGAUAAAUGCCCUUCCUCCACCAUGGCCCUCUGCCAUAUUGUUCCUGCCGUGGAGCUAAUUGACAAAGGACUGAAACUAUGAACCAAAUAAGCUUCUCCUCUUUUAAAUUAUUAGCUUUGGGUAUUGUCUUAACCCCCAGAAAAGUAAUUUAGGGAAUUAAUGGUAAUGUAAUUUUGCUGUAAUUAAUGUUUGAGAAUUUAAACAUUUACUAGAGUUUUUGAUCAUGGUUGGUAAAUCAACAUUUCUGGAAUACACCGACAACAAACACCUGUGAAAUAUAUACCGAGACUGUAUUUUACUUGGCACCACAACAAACCUCAGCAAGUUUCAGAGGAUCAAAACGAGGUACAGUGUAUUCUCUGACCACCUGGAGCCAGACUGUAUAUCCAAAACAGAAACAAUUUUAAAAAUUUCAAGCCUCUUCAAAUUUCAAAUCUAAGAGAUUCAACUUCUAAAAGAAUGAUGAUUGAUAAAGACAUAAGAGUUCAUCAGUCGAGAUGCUAGAAUUUAACACUAUGGAGAAAACCAGAUGAAAGGAGAGGGAUUAUCAUGACUCAGGAAGAAAAUAAAGAAAAAAAAAAGAAAAAUAUGGACAGAAGGCUGGAGCCAGACACACUCUUACUGGAGCUGGUCCCACACUGUCCCGGGCACCUUGGAGUCCGAUGACUUGUGGUUAUGCUGAAGUCCGGGGUUGGUGAGCCCAAGGACCUCAGUUGGAGAACAUGUCACAACAGAGAAUGGAGCCAGUGUGGAGAUCUGCAUGACUAGCCUGCAGUGAGUGCUUGGAACUUGGUCCUUCCACAGGAGGGGGUGAUCAGAUGGGUGACAUAUUAGAAUCACACAGGAUGAGCCUGAACCUGGAACCAUAGUGACUUCAGUUGGCUGCUCCUGGAGCAGAUUGGUGGGAACACCUUAGACUGGUUCAUGUCCCUGAAUGGGAAGAAGCCAGGGACGAAGUUGCCCCUGAAACUGUCCUGAACCAGUUCCGUCUGCAUGGCACACACUAACAUGAUGAAGACCCUCAGUGCUUGUCUGGUUUGGAGGGGAGGGGCCAGCCUGUACCACUCCUGCUUAUACCUCAGUGAUCAACAACAAACUGCAGAGGGCAGCAAUCCCUAGCCAGCAUGCUUCAGAGCAAUCAUAACCAAUACAGAAAGGGACCUCCACUAUACACUUUUCUGGAAGAAACCAGAAACAUGACAAGAGAAAGAAACAAAAACAAUCCUCCAGCCACCAACCCAUGGAAUUUAGGUCCAGGAGAGGUAAACACAGAAGAGAUUGAGGCCAGCAAAUGUGCAAUAUUGGAAACAGCAUCAGCUUACAUAAAGAAAUAUCUUUGUGAUAUUAUAGAAGCACUCAAAACAGAAAUACUAAUACAAGUAAAGCAAGAUAUAAGAAGAUUAAUAAAAGAACUGCUAAGCACCUCUCAAGAAGACACAGAUGGAAGAAUAGUGGAACACAGACAAAGGAGAGACACCUUUAAUGAAGAAUAUAAAAAAAUCUAGAAUACAUGAAACAGAUUCAAAAAGAUUACCAGGAUAUUAAAAACUUCAUGAAAGCUGGCAAAAUUGCUUGAAAGAAACUAAAGGUAGACUACCAUACUUUGAAGACAAUGUGUGAUCUCAAAAGGAAAGAUCUCUUAAAAAUUAACAAGGAACCAGGAAGUAACAAUACAAAGGCUAGAAGAUGACAAAAGUAUCUAUAACUUUAAGAAUGAAAAAUGUGAGUGAAGAAUCAGGGGUAAGUACAAAUGAAAUACAAAGGCUAUUUGUAUUUUCCUUAACUAUUUACAGAAAUAGUUAAGGAAAACUUCCCAAGCAUAAGAAAAGGAAAUGAUAUUCAGAUAUAUGAGGCAUACAGAACUCCAGCCAGCUGCAACCAAAACAGACCUACACCCAGACAAAUAAUAAUCAAGAUCCCAGAAAUUCAUCACAAGAACAGAAUAUUAAAAACUGUCAGAGAAAAAAAAAAACAGAUAACCUAUAAAGGAAAACCAAUCAAAAUCACAACAGACUUUUGAUCAAACCAUCAAAUCAAGAAGAGAUUGGAUUCUGGGAAAACAUGGCGGACAGAUAGCAGCAGCUACGGAGGCUCUCUGAAACACCCACCUUAGAAUUCAGGAAUGGUGCAGAGUAAGGAAUCAUAAGCAAGUGGAGAUAUGCCCUGCUGACUCAAGAAUGAACUGGGCUGAGAGAAACCAACUGGGAAUGCAGUCCUGGUGCGAUAACAGGAACAGAUAAAGCCUCAGCGUGAAAGCUGGAGCCCGCACCAUUGGAAGCCGCAAUUUGGGUUUCCCACCGCAAGGCGGCUGCGUCUACAUCAGCUCAGCAGGGAGAGAGACACGCGGAAGCUCUGAGAAUGGGAAUCGGCGAACGGAGUUGAAAACAGGACGGGCGGGGAGCUGUGCAUUGACUUGCGGUGAGGUGAGUGAGAGAUACUGACACUCUUCCACAGUUUAGGAGACUCCAGCGGAGGACAUUCUGGGACUGGGCAAACUUGUGGGAGUGGGGCACUACAGCGACUUCAGCCACAUAUCCCCCUCUCAAGUGGGAUUAGUGAGAAGUGCCUAGCCUACGUGACGCUGCUGGCUGAGACCCAGUAGGCUAGCACAGCCCAGAUCCCAGUGCCUGAGGGUGACCUGGAGGGGCGGGCCCCGUGUAGGCUGCCUGGUCUGCAACUUCCUGGUGUUGCUGCAGUGGGUGGGAACACUUAGCUGGCACAAUUCGAUCUGGCUGUGGCUGACAGGGAGGGAAGCUGGGCCUCCUAUAUAUGCUUGCAUAUAUAAGGAACAAAGAAUAUGGGAAGAGGGAGCAACAAGAAAAGCCCUUCAGCCCCCAAUCCUGAGAAACAGGCAAUAGCAGACAUCGCACCAAUAGACAUAAAGCGCCAUCUAGAGAGCCUCAUAGAUGAGUUCAGGAAUGAAGUUAUUAAUGACCUGAAGCUAGAAAUAAGCAGAAUAGUUAGAGAAAUGCUAAGCACCACCCAAGAAAAAACAGAUAGUGGAAUGGAAGAACAGAAAAAGAGGGGAGAAUUGUUUGAUGGAGAAAAUAGAGAAAGCAUAGAAUACGUGAAGCAGGUUCAAAGAGACUACCAGGAGACUAAAAACUCCAUUGAAAACUGGCAUAACAGCUUGAAAGAAACAAAGGACAGACUAUCUGAACUGGAGGGCAGAUUUGUAAUAUGGGAGAAUGAAAUGAAAAACUUCUUAAAAGUAACAAAGAAACAAACAGCAAUAAUACAAAGACUAGAAGAUGAUAAGAGGAUCCAUAACUUAAGAAUUAAGAACAUACCAGAAGAGGCAGGGACACAAACCAAAUGAACUACAAAAGCUACUCAUAGAAAUAAUCCAGGAGAAUUUUCCUAAUUUAGCAAAAGGUAAAGAUACUCAGUUGUAUGAAGCAUACAGGAACCCAGUCAUCUACAACCCAAACAGAGCAACACCCAGGCACAUAAUAAUUAAAAUUCCAGAAAUUCAAUAAAAGAACAGAAUAUUAAAAGCUGCCAGAGACAAGAAACAGACCACUUACAAGGGAACACCCAUCAGAAUUACAGCAGAUUUCUCUGCACAAACCAUCAAAUCACGAAAAGCGUGGGGGGAAAUAAUUCAAGCUUUGAAAGAUAAUAAUCUCCAGCCAAGAUUGAUAUAUCUUGCACAACUAUCCCUGGAAAUUGAUGGAAAAACAAGGUGCUUCCAGGAUAAAGAGGAACUAGGGGAAUAUGCAACCACCAAUUCAACUCUACAGAGAGUACUACAGGAUAUUCUAAAAAAGAAAAAUAUGAAGAAUCCAGAAAUAGUGGCAGAGAGGCCACAAUGAAUGGAGCAGAAAACAAAAUGAAGAAGACAAACUGAGAACUAAUGACAGAAAAAGAGCUCAACAGAAAUGAGGCAGAGAAGAUUGGAUGAUAGGAACAGCUAUUUUGGAGAAAAUGACAUCUUAAUAGGUAAUACUGAUUUAGUAUCAUCUUGUUUUGAAGUCUCAUCAAGCUUUUGUUCUUCUGUCUCCAUUGGUCUAAACAGGUUGUACCUUAUUGGAUUUUAUUAUGUAUGAUAGUAUAAACAAAAACUUUUAUAGACAAGGAGAUUAUACAGAAACCAUUGUUUAUUUUCUGUUAGUUGAUUCUAAAUACCCUGUAAUACUGUCAUUCUCUUAAACGGUUUUACAUUGUUUUGAUAUAUUUGAUGCUACAGUAUACGAAGUUAUACUCAAAGGUUUCAAGGAAAGAGACAACAUGGUAACUACUUUUAUGUCGGGAUUAUCUUGUGGUGAAACACUAUUUUGCUUAAAUGGUUAUGUUUUGAUCUGCGCUGUUUUGCUCUUAUGCCCUCUUUUAUCUCAAUCUCCACUUUAUUAUUUACUUUUUUAUUUUUAUCCUUUUAAUUAAGGGAAAAAUAAAUAAAAAAUAGCAGGAUAUAUUAUAGUAACCCACUUUGACUUUCCAAUAUCUUGAUUCAAAGCCCUGUAUUGCUCUCACCAUCUUGUUUUGACUGAUGUCCCUCUAUUCUGUUUUGCUUGAUAGUACCAGGUUCAAAAGUUUAGGCAACAGCUGUGAAGAUAGUGGGAUUCAUUAUGACGCCCAUUCUGGUUGACUAUUAUCUACUUUUGAAGAUCUAUAAUGUCUCCAAUGUUUUGGUUUUGUCGGUUUUGUUCUUUACUGUUUUGUUCAAUUUUAUUAUAACUGAUUAUAUAGGCAAUUCUAUUAGAGAUAGUGGGAGGCAUUAGGGUAACCAUUACUGAUCACCUUGUAUUAUGAUUUUACAUUAUCUAUUAUGUCCACCCUUUUGAUUUGACUGACUGUGUUCUGUUACGUCACAUUUGGUUCUACCCUCUUCCAAAAAAGUAAUAAGAACUGUGGGAGCAACAAAACCCAAAAUGUGUAAUUGUCAUUGUAUAAAGGAGAGGAAAACAAAGUGCUCUAAAUGAUAUAACUGCAUGAAUAUUUAAGUGUAUAAGAUAAAUAAUGAUAUCACUGAGUUUUGUUGGAUCAUUGAACAGAACUGUUUGAAGUCUCACUGUUGGAAUGUCCACUUUACAAGCUUUAAUUUUGUGACUUGAACAAUUAUUUCUAAGAUGAUAAUAUGUAAUCCAUUAACUUGUGAUUUCCUACUGUUUAUUUUUUUCUGUAAAUCUGUAUAACUUGUACCCUUUCUCUGCUUUUUUUUCUCCUUAAAUAAAAUUUAAAAAAAAGAAGAGAUUGGAAUGAAGUAUUCCAAGCCCUGAAAGAAAAUAACCACCAGCCCAGGUUGAUGUACCCUACAAAACUAUCUCUCAAAAUUAAUGGGGAAACAAGAUGCUUCCAUGACAAAGAGGAACAAGGGGAGUUUGUGACCACCAAUCCAACCCUACAAAAAAUGCUGAAGGACAUUUUAGAGAGAGGUAAAAAAAAAACACACCAAGGUUUCAGGAACAGUGGCAGAGAGGCCUUAAUGAAUGGGCCAGACAGUGGAUUGAAGGGGAAAAGUUGACAACCAAUAGCAGAAAAAUAGCAUAGUGCCGACGAGGCAGAGAAGGUUGGCUAUAAUCUGUAACACAGAUGGCCUUGAUACACUAACAAAAAGAAACACAGGCAGAAUAGAUCAGGGGAUAGGGUCCAUCAAGAUGCUCUGUAUAGGAAAUACAAUCAACCUGAAAGAGGGUUUAUGGUCUAAAAGUCAAAGAUGAGAAAAUAAUGCUCUAUGUGACAGGGAACCAGAGAGAAAUAGGGGCAGCUUGCCCAGCAGCUACAGAUAGGUUGGAAAGACAUGACCUUUUUGUGCAGUGGAGUGCUACUCAGCUUUAAGGAAGGAAAACCUUGAGGCUGUUGCUCAGGAAUAAAAAGGUUCAGAACUACUUAGGUACAUGGUGGGUUGCCCCACCAAUCUAAAAAUUAAAGAAGUUAGUGGGACCCAAAAUGUACAAUGUACCCUGUGAAAGUGAAAGGGGAGGAACUGUCUAAAAAAGGAAGGCAGAGGCCAUUGUUAAUAUUGUAUCAGGAUUUAAACCCACGUUAUUCUCAUCACUCUGUUUAAUUUGAUUAUUUUCUGUUCUAGUCUGUCCACUUGUACUAGAUCUGAGGGUAUAAACAGCUAUUCCAAAAAUAGCAGGAUAUACUACGGUAACCAUCCGUAGUUUCCUAUUAACUUAAUCUGAAGUCCUGUAUUACUUACACUGUCUUAUUAUUACUGACCUUAUUUGAAUCUUGUUUGUUAGAUCACUGUCUUGCCUUGACUGAUUUAAUUCAAACUUGUUAUGCUUGAUAAUAUCAGAUCUGAGAGUAUAAGCAACUACUCUGAAGAUGACAAGAGUCACUAGGAUGCCCAUUCUGGCUUAACUAUUACCUGCUUUUGAAGUCCUGUAAUGUAUCCAAUGUUUUGUUUUUAUUGAGAUUGUUAUGUACUGCUAUGUUCAAUUUUACUGUGCCUGAUGAUAGAGACAAUUCUAUAGAAGAUAACAAGAGACAUCAUAGUAACCAUUGUAGAUCAUCUUAUAUUUGAUUUUAAUCUUGUGUUAUGUCCAUCCUUUUGUUUUGAAUGACCCUGUUUCAUGUUCUUUGUCAUUUGGUUUUGUUCUUUUUAAAAUAAAAUACAUUAAGAAAAGUU